AGAAAAUUCUGCUUCUAAGCUCAUUUUUGUGGUUGUUUGCAGGAUUGAAUUCUUUUUGGGUAACAGACUAAAUGCCUCAGUCCUUAACUAGCUGCUGACUGAAAGUUGCAAUCUGGCUUCCUUAACAUAGCAACUAAGUUAAAGCCAGCAAGGGAGGGAGCACUAUGAAGACAGAAUUCAGAACCUCUUGUAGUCUAAUCAUGGAAAUGACACUCCCUUUCAAUGUCGGUUAAAAGCAGGUUACUCUAGGGAAAGAAACUACACAAAUCUUAAAUAUCAAGAAGCAAGAUGUGAUUGGGGUUGUCUUGGAGGCUUCCUAGCCUACAGCAUUUAAGGGAGAGUGUUCUACAUUAUAGCUAUUCAUAUGUCCAAUGGAGGAAGUGAGUUCAUCAUCUUAAACCUCCAAGUAAAAGUUUAAAACAUUACCCUUAGAAGACUUCACUAAAGGUAGGAGUGGUGACCCAGAAGCUUUACAUUUCAGCUGAAGGUGGA